GUGCCUAUAGUGUAAUGGUUAGCACAAGAGUUUGUGGAACUCUUAGUUCGAGUUCAAAUCUCGAUAGGCACCCCA
rnacentral:tRNA from 1 species